rnacentral:rRNA from 1 species
GCGGCAGCAGUAGGGAAUCUUCCACAAUGGACGCAAGUCUGAUGGAGCAACGCCGCGUGAGUGAAGAAGGGUUUCGGCUCGUAAAGCUCUGUUGUUAAAGAAGAACGUGGGUAAGAGUAACUGUUUACCCAGUGACGGUAUUUAACCAGAAAGCCACGGCUAACUACGUGCCAGCAGCCGCGGUAAUACGUAGGUGGCAAGCGUUAUCCGGAUUUAUUGGGCGUAAAGCGAGCGCAGGCGGUCUUUUAAGUCUAAUGUGAAAGCCUUCGGCUCAACCGAAGAAGUGCAUUGGAAACUGGGAGACUUGAGUGCAGAAGAGGACAGUGGAACUCCAUGUGUAGCGGUGAAAUGCGUAGAUAUAUGGAAGAACACCAGUGGCGAAGGCGGCUGUCUGGUCUGCAACUGACGCUGAGGCUCGAAAGCAUGGGUAGCGAACAGGAUUAGAUACCCUGGUAGUCCAUGCCGUAAACGAUGAUUACUAAGUGUUGGAGGGUUUCCGCCCUUCAGUGCUGCAGCUAACGCAUUAAGUAAUCCGCCUGGGGAGUACGACCGCAAGGUUGAAACUCAAAAGAAUUGACGGGGGCCCGCACAAGCGGUGGAGCAUGUGGUUUAAUUCGAAGCUACGCGAAGAACCUUACCAGCUCUUGACAUCUUCUGACAGUCUAAGAGAUUAGAGGUUCCCUUCGGGGACAGAAUGACAGGUGGUGCAUGGUUGUCGUCAGCUCGUGUCGUGAGAUGUUGGGUUAAGUCCCGCAACGAGCGCAACCCUUAUUACUAGUUGCCAGCAUUAAGUUGGGCACUCUAGUGAGACUGCCGGUGACAAACCGGAGGAAGGUGGGGACGACGUCAAAUCAUCAUGCCCCUUAUGACCUGGGCUACACACGUGCUACAAUGGAUGGUACAACGAGUCGCGAGACCGCGAGGUUAAGCUAAUCUCUUAAAACCAUUCUCAAUUCGGACUGUAGGCUGCAACUCGCCUACACCAAAUCGGAAUCGCUAGUAAUCCCGGAUCAGCAUGCCGCUGUGAAUAUGUUCCCGGGCCUUGUACACACCGCCCGUCACACC